rnacentral:lncRNA from 1 species
AUGAAAAGCUCCCUUAUAUGCUUCAUUUGCCUUUCCUUCCACCACUUUUUUACCUGCAAAUCACAGCAACAACUCCAUGUCAUAUAUAUUUCCUGCUAUAGAUCUUCUACUUCUGGCCUAGGGGGUAAUUUUCAUGUCACCGAACAGGCUGCUUCUUGCAAGAACCUGCCUCACCAUGUCAUGAUGAAGAUUGAUAUCCAGAUCCUCAAAAAGUUCAUACGUGCUCUUCUAAGAGAGCAUUAUCAAAGCCUCAAAAUAUGACCUUGAUGAGCUUCAGUUUCUAUUUGUAUCACCCCACAAGCACCUGAAGACUGUCACUUAUUUGACCACAGUUUCAACAUUGUGCUUGUGCCUGACCAUAUUGAUCCCACCUUCCUGGAGACACUGUUAAAUUCCUCCCUUGUAGCUGUCAUUUGCCUUUCUUUCUGGCUCUAGCUAAAGUGCAGCAUACCGUCUGUUUUAUCCCCAGGUUGUUCACUUACUUAUGUAAUAGUGCAGUGAUUAGCACCAGUACACAGGCAGUGGGAGAGCAGUGCAUUAUUUCCUCCUUUACCUAAUACUGUAUGCCUUUCUGAAAACCUUUUAGAGAGCAAAUGGAGUGGUUUCUGAUGGUGCACAAUAAGACUAUUUUGCCAAGAACUGCAUUCUUAAUGAAUAGCAAAGGAUCAGGUUACAAUAUUUUUUACUAAAAACUUCCUACUUUUCAAUUGCUCAAAAUGAAACUCCAGCUACUAAUGGUCUUCCUUAACUGGUGUGAGUAGCAGCACUGACACUUUUUUGUACUGAAAGCAGCACAGAUUGUGAUGCAGGUGAACAAACAUCUAAUCCUUGCUCAUCUGGUCAGUAAGCAUAGUUAAUCAGCAUCUGACUAUUGUGUCUUUGAAAAUAUAUCUGCUGAAGAGUAACAAUGCUGAAAGACAUUUUUCCUUUUCAUGUUUAGACUAUAAACCAUGUUCAGCAUCAGCUCAGUGGAAAUGUUUGCUGCUACACUUGGCCUUAGAAAAUGGUUCAACUCAACUCAGGAAUAAAAGCUGGCUAAUUUGUGAUUAAUCA